GGCUACCAUGCAGUCGAGGGGCAGCAUUUCAGUUUGCUUGCAAACUGGAGAUGGCGACCGGCGCACGGGUGAGUAACACGUAUCCAACCUGCCGAUAACUCGGGGAUAGCCUUUCGAAAGAAAGAUUAAUACCCGAUGGUAUAAUCAGACCGCAUGGUCUUAUUAUUAAAGAAUUUCGGUUAUCGAUGGGGAUGCGUUCCAUUAGGCAGUUGGUGAGGUAACGGCUCACCAAACCUUCGAUGGAUAGGGGUUCUGAGAGGAAGGUCCCCCACAUUGGAACUGAGACACGGUCCAAACUCCUACGGGAGGCAGCAGUGAGGAAUAUUGGUCAAUGGGCGCAGGCCUGAACCAGCCAAGUAGCGUGAAGGAUGACUGCCCUAUGGGUUGUAAACUUCUUUUAUAUGGGAAUAAAGUUUUCCACGUGUGGAAUUUUGUAUGUACCAUAUGAAUAAAGAUCGGCUAACUCCGUGCCAGCAGCCGCGGUAAUACGGAGGAUCCGAGCGUUAUCCGGAUUUAUUGGGUUUAAAGGGAGCGUAGGUGGACAGUUAAGUCAGUUGUGAAAGUUUGCGGCUCAACCGUAAAAUUGCAGUUGAUACUGGCUGUCUUGAGUACAGUAGAGGUGGGCGGAAUUCGUGGUGUAGCGGUGAAAUGCUUAGAUAUCACGAAGAACUCCGAUUGCGAAGGCAGCUCACUGGACUGCAACUGACACUGAUGCUCGAAAGUGUGGGUAUCAAACAGGAUUAGAUACCCUGGUAGUCCACACAGUAAACGAUGAAUACUCGCUGUUUGCGAUAUACAGUAAGCGGCCAAGCGAAAGCAUUAAGUAUUCCACCUGGGGAGUACGCCGGCAACGGUGAAACUCAAAGGAAUUGACGGGGGCCCGCACAAGCGGAGGAACAUGUGGUUUAAUUCGAUGAUACGCGAGGAACCUUACCCGGGCUUAAAUUGCAUUUGAAUANUNUGGAAACAGNUUAGCCGCAAGGCAAAUGUGAAGGUGCUGCAUGGUUGUCGUCAGCUCGUGCCGUGAGGUGUCGGCUUAAGUGCCAUAACGAGCGCAACCCUUAUCUUUAGUUACUAACAGGUCAUGCUGAGGACUCUAGAGAGACUGCCGUCGUAAGAUGUGAGGAAGGUGGGGAUGACGUCAAAUCAGCACGGCCCUUACGUCCGGGGCUACACACGUGUUACAAUGGGGGGUACAGAAGGCAGCUACCUGGUGACAGGAUGCUAAUCCCAAAAGCCUCUCUCAGUUCGGAUCGAAGUCUGCAACCCGACUUCGUGAAGCUGGAUUCGCUAGUAAUCGCGCAUCAGCCAUGGCGCGGUGAAUACGUUCCCGGGCCUUGUACACACCGCCCGUCAAGCCAUGAAAGCCGGGGGUACCUGAAGUACGUAACCGCAAGGAGCUCCUAGG
rnacentral:rRNA from 1 species